UGCCCAGCAACUCCUACCCCUACAUCCUCGUGGUACUGGCCGGGGUACGAGUAACCUUGGGGAAGAUCGGGUAACCAACCCCCGGUGGGAACUUUGGUCGUAUGCUGACAGGGAAGG
rnacentral:ribozyme from 1 species